AUACGUGGGUGACAAGCGUUAUCCGGAUUUACUGGGCGUAAAGGGCGUGUAGGCGGUCUUGCAAGUCAGAAGGGAAAUUCCUGAGCUCAACUCGGGCGCUGCCUUCUGAACUGGCUGUCUGGAGUGGCAGUGCCGGUGGGGGCAUGAGUGGUUUAGCGGGUAAAUGCUUAGAUAUCACUCAGAACACCGAUUGCGAAGGCAUCUGACGAACUGCCCGCUGACGCUGAGGCACGAAAGCGUGGGGAUCAAACAGGAUUAGAUACCCUGGUAGUCCACGCAGUAAACGAUGAUGACUAACUGCCGGCCCGUUGCGGGUCGGUGGCCAAGCGAAAGCGAUAAGUCAUCCACCUGGGGAGUACGACCGCAAGGUUGAAACUCAAAUGAAUUGACGGGG
rnacentral:rRNA from 1 species